rnacentral:tRNA from 2 species
GGCGACGUAGCUCAGCUGGUUAGAGCGUGCGACUCAUAAUCGCAAGGUCGGCAGUUCAAGUCUGCCCGUCGCUACCA